CGUGUACUCCCUCCAUCCGAAAAUACUUGUCAUCAUAAUGAAUAAAAGGGGAUAUAUCUAGAUGUAUAUUAGUUCUUGAUACAUACAUUUUUAUUCAUUUUGAUGACAAGUAUUUUCGAGGGAGUAUAAG
rfam:Triticum aestivum genome assembly, contig: Triticum_aestivum_CS42_TGACv1_scaffold_320503_4BL